AUUGAACGCUGGCGGCAUGCCUUACACAUGCAAGUCGAACGGCAGCACGGGGGCAACCCUGGUGGCGAGUGGCGAACGGGUGAGUAAUGCAUCGGAACGUGCCCAGUAGUGGGGGAUAACCCGGCGAAAGCCGGGCUAACACCGCAUACGACCUAUGGGUGAAAGCGGGGGACCGUAAGGCCUCGCGCUAAUGGAGCGGCCGAUGUCUGAUUAGCUAGUUGGCGGGGUAAAGGCCCACCAAGGCGACGAUCAGUAGCUGGUCUGAGAGGACGACCAGCCACACUGGGACUGAGAAACGGCCCAGACUCCUACGGGAGGCAGCAGUGGGGAAUUUUGGACAAUGGGCGCAAGCCUGAUCCAGCCAUGCCGCGUGCGGGAAGAAGGCCUUCGGGUUGUAAACCGCUUUUGGCAGGAACGAAACGGCGCGGGUGAAUAUCCCGCGCUAAUGACGGUACCUGCAGAAUAAGCACCGGCUAACUACGUGCCAGCCGCCGCCGUAAUAC
rnacentral:rRNA from 1 species